GCGCACCGGGGAGGCGGGGAGAGGCGGAGCGUGCGCGCGCCCGGCCCUCGGAGCCCCGCGCCGUGCGGAGCGCGGAAAGCGUGAGAGCGCGACUCGGGGACGCGCCUGUCUCCGGACUGCCCACGUCAGCCCCUAGCUGGCCCGCGACGUCUGCGUCGGAAGAGCCCUGAAAAAUUGCGCUGACCUUGCCCUAGACCCAUCUUGGUAAACAAGAAGAGACGACAGUCUGAUUGGUUGGAUCUGAAUCAUGUGCCCACGCCUAGAAGGCAGACAAGAUGACCUGUAGAAGCUAGAGCCCUUAACUACGGAGCUACUCAUGCACCUGGACCAAGACUCAGAGAAGCCGAAGGAGGAGCUCAUACAGGUCUGAGCGCGGACCCUGCCGACAAGUGAGCCAGCACAUUCAAUGUGGAUGAACCACCACUGUGCCUGGCGCCCAACUCUCACUGUCAGAGUAUAAAACAUGGCUUCACAUCCACCUCCCCGGCCUUAUGCCAAUUUCUCUUGUGGCCAAUGCUGAUCUGGAACCACGUAGGGAAGGGAAUUCUGGCAAGCGAGUUCCAACGUAGCUAAAUUGACAGUACAGAGCUACCAGAGUCUACUCCUUGUCAACUUGGCAUUCAUAUACACUUAAAAAAAAUUUUUUAAGUUUAUUUAUCUAUUUUGAGACAGAGAGUGUGUGUUGCACAAGCAGAGGAAGGGCAGCGAGGAGAGACAGAAUCCCAAGCAGGCUCUGCACCAUCAGCACAGAAGCAAUGAGGGGCUUGAGCUCACAAACUGUGAGAUCAUGACCUGAGCUGAGAUUUAGAGCCCAACACAGAACCGACUGCACCACUCAGGUGUCCCUCAUACAUGCUUUUUUAAACGAUACUUAGCUUUUAAGUGAAGACAACAACAAAAUCAUGCUUCCAGUUAACAGAACCCAAUUGCCCCUCAUGCAACUGAAAACAUGCUAUUCUUCUCCCUAACGGACAAUAUAAGGUCCCUUUAUCCAUCUUUGGGUAACAUUUAUUCUUUUUCUAGCUCAGUCACCUCCCCCUUUGGAAGUAAGAGCUUUGGGAGGUGAUUAGGUCAUGGGAGUGGAGCCUUUAUAAAAUUAUUUUUUAAUGUUUAUUUAUUUUUGAGAGAAAUAGAGAGACAGACUGCAAGGAGGGGAGGAACAGAGAGAGAGGGACAGAGGAUUCAAAGCGGGCUCUGAGCUGACAGAAGCAAGCCUGACAUGGGGCCCGAGCUCAUGAGCCACAAGAUCAUGACCUAAGCCAAAGUUGGACGCUCAACCAACUGAGCCACCCAGGCACCCCGAGAGUGGAGCACUCAUAAAAGAGACCGCAGGGAGUUCCCUCAUCCCUUCUUCUGUGGGAGGACAUAACAAAGAGACAGACAUCUAUGAACCAAGAAAUGUGCCCUUACUAGAUGCAUAAUCUGCUGGUGUCCUGCUUGGAGCUCUUAGCAUCCAGAGCUGUUAGAAAUAAAUUUCUGUUUAUAAGCCAGCCAGUGUGGGGUACUGUGCUAUGGCAUCCCAAGUGAACUAAGAGAGACAUAAAACAAUAACCAUCAUGGAUUUUGUGUGUCAGGAAUUUGGAAGAACCACAGUAAGAAUGGUUCUUCUAUGCCUCAAAAUGUCUGGGUUGAGAUGACUCAAACAGCUGGAGGUAGGAACCACUGGGACCAUGGAAUCUACUUCCAAGAUGGUUUAUUCUUUCAUACUUCUGGCACUUAGCCCGGUAUAGCUGAAGGUCAGGCUCAUCUGGGACCAUCAGCCAGAAAAUCUGCAGAGUGGUCUCAAGGUAGCGACUACUUAAAAGGCUGUUCAGAGCUCCAGAAUGAAUUUCCCAGUAAAUAAGGUACAGGCUGCAUGGCCUUUUAUGACAUAGUUUUGGAAGUCACCUGGUGUCACUUACACUGUAUUCAAUUGGUUGAAGAAGGCACAAGCUUUCCAAAAUUCAAGGGGAGGAAAUAUAAACUGCCCUUCAAUGGGAGGAAUGUUGAAUUUGAGGCUAUGUUUUAAAAUCACUCUAAGAUUUUGUCUAGUCUAGUUCAUGCUUAUCCACAGCAGGUGGCUAGUUCACCCUUUUUCAUUAUUUAGCAUCAUUUCUGUUCUUUUCUCACCUGUAUCAACGGAUGAGAGGGCUGCGUAUGAGAAUAUCAUUACACGUGCUUUCUUUGCAUGCUUCCCCGGGUCUCUUAGAAAUUCAUACACUCCUCAUAGCUAGACUCACAUUUCAAAUUUUCUACAAACUUACUACUCACAGGUGAUCUCCUGACUUAUAACUCUUUGUCUGGAUACUCCUGGAUUUAUGAUUCCUAAUGACUUCAAUUGAUAAUAAUGAGAUCACUGGUCAACUAGCCAAUGAAUGUUGACAAGAAAAUAUCUUGGGCUGUUUCAUGAAGUUUAGAAACAAGCUUCUGAACCAAACAAAAAUUCUAGCCAAGGCAUUUUUCUAUCUUAAAAUGUUUAAAAAUCAGCACAGUAAAACAGAAAAGGAAGAUAAGUGGUUGGCAUAACAUCUGAGUUCUGAAAGCUGAAAGCUGUCUUGUUAGGAGUGGCCUAUAGAAUAGACUUGACCAUCAUUCUGGAACCAGUUAAGUUGCAUUUUGAUGGUCUCCUACACCCAGAACAUAAUGAAGGCUUUCUUUUUCUAAAGAAUUAGAGCACAUAUAGCCUGAACCAUUCCUUUAUUUAUUCAACAGGCAUCUAUUAAGUGCUUUGAAUGGGUCAGGUAGUGUUCUCCUUUGCUGUUCAGAAACACAGCGGUGAAGAAGACACAGCCUCUGACCUCAGAGGACUGUGGAAGAGAUAAAAACCAAGCCAAACCAAAACCAAUACCAAUGAGUAAUGGAGCUCAAGAAAAAGCACUUAACUAUAAACAGGUUUCACUAAGGGCAUGGACCACCUUUUACAUGUCUCCAUACCUCCCAUAAUGCAGCUCAGUGACAGGUCCACAAUAACCUAUCACUAAACAUUUGCUAAUGGUCUGACUAACAAAUACUGAAAUGUAACGAGAUUGUA